rnacentral:rRNA from 1 species
GACGAACGCUGGCGGCGUGCUUAACACAUGCAAGUCGAGCGAGGCCCCUUCUUCGGGAGGGUGUUCUAGCGGCGAACGGGUGAGUAACACGUGGGCAACCUGCCCCUGGCUCUGGGAUAACUCCAAGAAAUUGGGGCUAAUACCGGAUAUGACCGCUGACCGCAUGGUCUGGUGGUGGAAAGAUUUAUCGGCUGGGGAUGGGCCCGCGGCCUAUCAGCUUGUUGGUGGGGUAGUGGCCUACCAAGGCGACGACGGGUAGCCGGUCUGAGAGGGUGACCGGCCACACUGGGACUGAGACACGGCCCAGACUCCUACGGGAGGCAGCAGUGGGGAAUAUUGCGCAAUGGGCGAAAGCCUGACGCAGCGACGCCGC